AGGGGGAUAACCCGUCGAAAGACGGACUAAUACCGCGUACACUCUAUGUUGGGCAUCCAAUGUAGAGGAAAUGAAAUUCGCUGUGAGAUAGGCAUGCGUCCCAUUAGCUAGUUGGUGAGGUAACGGCUCACCAAGGCGGCGAUGGGUAGGGGAACUGAGAGGUUGAACCCCCACACUGGUACUGAGACACGGACCAGACUCCUACGGGAGGCAGCAGUGAGGAAUAUUGGUCAAUGGGCGAGAGCCUGAACCAGCCAAGUCGCGUGAAGGAUGACUGUCUUAUGGAUUGUAAACUUCUUUUAUACGGGAAUAACAAGAGUCACGAGUGACUCCCUGCAUGUACCGUAUGAAUAAGCAUCGGCUAACUCCGUGCCAGCAGCCGCGGUAAUACGGAGGAUGCGAGCGUUAUCCGGAUUUAUUGGGUUUAAAGGGUGCGUAGGCGGCCUGUUAAGUCAGCGGUGAAAUCUAGGAGCUUAACUCCUAAAUUGCCAUUGAUACUGGCGGGCUUGAGUGUAGAUGAGGUAGGCGGAAUGCGUGGUGUAGCGGUGGAAUGCAUAGAUAUCACGCAGAACUCCGAUUGCGAAGGCAGCUUACUAAGGUACAACUGACGCUGAAGCACGAAAGCGUGGGUAUCAAACAGGAUUAGAUACCCUGGUAGUCCAC
rnacentral:rRNA from 1 species